AUGACUAGGGAUAACCUUAGGAAGAGACACAUCAUCAGACCCCUUGAUUGUGUUUACUGCUUGGAACAAGAGUCUUAUUCUCACCUAUUUUUUGAAUGUAUAGUUGCUAAACAUCUCUGGGCCCAUAUUAAGGAAUAUUUCUCUAGUCAGAUUGGCUCAUCCUUCGAAUCUGUCGCCAGAUUCUGGAUUGCUACCAAAAAGUGCUCAGUUUUAAAUACUAUUAGCUCGGCUGUCCUUUGGUGCCUCUGGAAAUAUAGUAAUGUUAUGAUUUUCAUUAACACCUCCUGGAUUUCCAUUCCGCAGUCUUGA
rnacentral:rRNA from 1 species